CUUAAAACCCCGCCGGACGUAACACUCUUGACAAAAAUAGACACAAUCACUAACAAUACAAUUAAUAAUUGAUCGUAUACGACCACUUUCCGAAAACGCGCUAUCAGCGCUAGAAAAUACAUGCACCCUUCCUGAUUAUCGACUUAAAAAAUCCCUACAAAACUAUAUAUCAUAAAAGUCACGUGGGUCGCAAGUGGGGCGCCACGCACCUCCUUGCUCGCGCCACGCGCCAGCUCGUGUCAAACCAUGUGUAGUGUACAUGUGAGUGUAUUGAUGGGUCACGUGGAUCGCCAGUGGCUCGCGCCACGCGCCAGCUUCCACUAAGAGUAUGUUCCAUUUUAUGCAUGAUGCGCAUAAUGCAUUUUGACAAACAACAAGGAUAAACGAUGCACCAUACGUAUUAUGCGUAUUAUGAAACGGAACGCAUUCUAAGUGAUGUGCAGUGAGGUUAUAUUAUGAUGACAGUUUCGUGAAGAUCGUGCCAUAAAAUGACAGAUAGGGUAAGUGUAUUAUUGUACCUUUAUAUUUAAAGGAAUUAUAAAAGAAUUUGCAUAAAUAAAAAUAGAACAUUUUGUUUUGUAUUAUAUACAUAAAUAGUUAAACUAAAUUUUUUAAAAUUUAUUCUUUCUAUUUAAUUGUGCUUAUUCUUUUUAUAAUUUCUUUAAAUACAAAGGUACACAAAUAGGUACAGGGAUACUAAUAGGGACACUCCUAUUGCCCUCCUAUUCUGCUCUAGACGAGGCAGAAGAAGUCAGGUCCAGAGAUAAAAUAAAGAAGCAGUGAAACGAGAAGAGCCUGAAGGUAUAAUAAAGUGUCUAAGAUGCAAGAAAAUUUUAUGUGUACGAAUUUUGUUAUAUGUUAUAUUCUUAUACUCUAUGAUUGCAGGAGAAAAGCAUUGAAUAUAAUGAAAAAGAAAAAAAAUGACCACAGGCCAAAAAAAAAGAUUAUUAUACAUGAUAUUAAUUCCAUAUCCAGUGACAGGAUUUAUGUCACUUAGAAUUUCUUCCCCGAUGCAUCCUAGCAGAAGCGAUUUUGUACGAGGAGUAGCAUUUUAUACGAGGAGUAGCAAAUAGCCUAUACAAUUUGCGAACAUCUUCAAGAAUGGAUGUCGGUUCUGAUAAUGGAAUACUAAGUGAAGACCACAUGAAGCUGUCGGCAUUUUACUUUUAAUAGACAAUAGAGAAAGAUUAUUUAAAUUUAAAAGGGACAAGAUAAUGUUACGUCCGGCAGACUCCACGAUUUCUCUUCUUCGAAGAAACAAAUAAGAUUACAAAAGAAAUUCCAUUUCAACGGUCUCCGAUAAUUUUUUAUGCGUCUAAGAUUAGUCUAUUAAAAACGUGAUGACAAACAUGGAUGGAUGAAACGACCAAGUUGAUAAUUUCAACUUCUUUUGAAUAUUAAAUCAACAAUAAAUUUUGAAGGUAGAAAUACAAAAACAAACUCGGGUUCAAAGCAAGGUUUCACGUUUGUUCACAAAAAAUGAGUAAUAAAGAAUCCAAACAUUAGCAAAAAAUAAAUAACCGUUUCCUCCAUCUGCAAACAAUACUGUCACACGUCUAGCACGAUAAAGAGAAACUUUCGACAGAUUAUUCAACGUAUGAUUGGGCAAAGAGGAAAAACUAUUUUUCCAAUAAGAAAACUUAGAAUUCACCCACCACAAAAUCCUGAAAGAGUCCUACUAAUUAGAAUAUUUGAACCUACAUCUAGAUCCUUCUCUUGUAAGAUUGGUAUAUAUAAUACCAAAUCUUGAAGAAAACAAAUCAGUUAGUUGGUCAAUGAGUAAGAGAGUUAGUUAAUAGUCAGUUGUCAGUUGAGUUAGUAGCGAGUUAGUUAGUAAUCGGUAACGAAAAAAGUAGUUAAAA